GCAGUCGAGCGCGGGAAGCGAGCGGAUCCCUUCGGGGUGAAGCUCGUGGAACGAGCGGCGGACGGGUGAGUAACACGUGGGCAACCUGCCUGUAAGACCGGAAUAACCCCGGGAAACCGGGGCUAAUGCCGGGUAAUACUUUUCUUCGCAUGAAGGAAAGUUGAAAGAUGGCUUCUUGCUAUCACUUACAGAUGGGCCCGCGGCGCAUUAGCUAGUUGGUGAGGUAACGGCUCACCAAGGCGACGAUGCGUAGCCGACCUGAGAGGGUGAUCGGCCACACUGGGACUGAGACACGGCCCAGACUCCUACGGGAGGCAGCAGUAGGGAAUCUUCCGCAAUGGACGAAAGUCUGACGGAGCAACGCCGCGUGAACGAUGAAGGUCUUCGGAUCGUAAAGUUCUGUUGUUAGGGAAGAACAAGUACCGUGCGAAUAGAGCGGUACCUUGACGGUACCUAACGAGGAAGCCCCGGCUAACUACGUGCCAGCAGCCGCGGUAAUACGUAGGGGGCAAGCGUUGUCCGGAAUUAUUGGGCGUAAAGCGCGCGCAGGCGGUUCCUUAAGUCUGAUGUGAAAGCCCACGGCUCAACCGUGGAGGGUCAUUGGAAACUGGGGAACUUGAGGACAGAAGAGGAGAGUGGAAUUCCACGUGUAGCGGUGAAAUGCGUAGAUAUGUGGAGGAACACCAGUGGCGAAGGCG
rnacentral:rRNA from 1 species